UCCAUCUUCUCAUAACAAUGGCUGUCGGCGCUGCUCGCACGGUGGGGUUAGACCAAAGUGAUCAACUUCUUAAUCCAGUUCUGGAUCCAGGUAUUUUUGAAAGACUCUUUACCACUGAAUGAUGGACAAAACCGGACAUUCUGUCAUAUCCUCACAGCAGCUGUCAACAAUGACCUCAUCUCUUCCUGUGAAGAUCAUCCUUCCUUGAUGGUAAUGCUGUACACCAGAAAGCACGUUAACUUCCUUCUACAUAGAAAGACGAGCUCCUCUGGCUCCAGUAGCAGUCACGUGACACACCUCCACAUCGGCCCCAAGUUUCUGCAGCUCAUCCAACCAGAUCUGCUGCUUGUGGGACAGUCGGUCAUUGGGCCCCUUCACCUCCACCAGCUACAAUCACAGAACAUCCAAUGUCAUGAGAUUUUAAAUUAUUGGGCACCAACAAAACUCCUGAUUGAAUACAAAGAGAGAGAGAGAGGAAAAAAGCCAGGACGGUCAGAUGAUCUCACCUUGUAACUGUUAUUUGAGGUGUUCCACACCACAAGGUCGGGUAAACCUCCACGGCAGUGCCUGUAGUCUUUUGCCAUUCGUGCUAUUACUCCACCAAGAAAGGCUCCACCCA